AAUGGUGUUGCUAUAAGGUUUGACCCUUUGAUAACUCUUGGUGGAUUAAGUGUCCCUAAUCAAGACAUCCAUUUUAGAUUACAUUCAAAGGAUCUUGUUUGUGUAUUAUUUUGAAUACUGUGAGACCUGGCUAUUCCCGGACAGUGGCUGAAAUGGCUUUCCAAGUAUGGGGCCUUCAGACUGCACCCUAGAUCUAAGACCUAGGAGCCUGCCUCAGUCUGAGAAGUUUCUCAAAAAAAAAAAAAGGAGGGGGCAUUACUUCCCAAUUAACUCAAUUAACUUCUUCUGGUGUUUAAGAAGCUACCAGGAAAUUAACCAAAUAAGGAGCCAUCUGUUUCCUGCUGAGCCCCCAACAGAGACACUUUCCAAUCAAGAAUGUACUGCAGCGAAUUCAAGAAGUACCAGUGUGGAACAUUAUAAGUGCCUCUGGGAGCAUCAACAGAAUAUUCAACAGAAUUUUCAUUUGUGAAUAUGGCUCGCACCAACAAAGGUACAGGGUCUCUCACUGAACCCAGGACAAGGCAGCCAUCUUCCAUCGAUGGGAUGGAGUUAACAAGCAGGUGUGUGUGUGACCACACCGGGUUUUCCCACGGGUGCUGAUGACUUGAACUCAGGGCCUUCAACUUGUCUAAAAGUAUCCUCCCACUUCUCGUGAUCUGUGGGAAAGAAUACAAAGUGUGAACAGAUAAGGAAAAUACACAAAGAAAUACAAAGUAGCAAGCCCAGCUCAGAAAAGUCCCAUGCUGCCAAAUGGUCAGGAAGGUUUAAUUUUGUCCAAAAAAAAAAAAAGUCUGAAAAGCUGUAACAAAGCCCAAAAGCCAAGGUGCCACAUGUAGGCUGCAGAUGUGAACAGCGGCAGAAACCGUCCUUUCUCUGGGUUGAUGUAAAAAGACAACCCAAGAGUCUCACCGAGGCACACGCAAAACCAGCCAGGAAUGACGCUUUGAAGCCAUCCUUUAAAUGAACUGUCUCGGUGUCCUACAGUUCAUCAAAGGUUUCCUGUCUCUGAAAGGUCAGCCUCAUAUCCCUUACCCUUUCUGAAUCUCAGUCUCCUUUCAGCUCUUCACUGACAAACGGCGAGCAGGGGCCUCUUCGUCCUAACAAUCUCGAUUGCACAGUUCACAGAUUCUUAAGAUAAAUCACUACGCGAAUAUCAUAUACAGUCUUUGGUCUGUCUCACGGGUCUAUGUUAAAAAAUAAAAAUAAAAACCAAUACUUUUGUAAUAGCGAGGGGGUGUUGAAACCCUGAUUAAAUAAAGUGAGGUUAAAAACUCGGGAAGACA
rnacentral:sRNA from 1 species